rnacentral:rRNA from 1 species
GACAGAGGGUGCAAACGUUGUUCGGAAUUACUGGGCGUAAAGCGCGUGUAGGCGGCCAUCUAAGUCGGGCGUGAAAUCCCACGGCUCAACUGAGGAAGUGCACCCGAAACUGAGUAGCUGGAGUACGAAAGAGGGUCGCGGAAUUCCCGGUGUAGAGGUGAAAUUCGUAGAUAUCGGGAGGAACACCGGUGGCGAAGGCGGCGACCUGGGUCGAUACUGACGCUGAGGCGCGAAAGCGUGGGGAGCAAACAGG